AGUUGAUCGGAUAGUCGCUGGUGGCGUUUGCUAUCAGAGGAAAGUCCGGGCUCCCUAGAGCAAAGUGCUAGUUAACGGCUAGGCGCAGUGAUGCGACGGAAAGUGCAGCAGAAAAGAAACCGCCUACUUGUAGGUAAGGGUGAAAUGGUGCGGUAAGAGCGCACCGCGCACUUGGUGACAAGUGUGGCAGGGUAAACCCCACUUGGAGCAAGCUCAAAUAGGAAGGCAUUGGCGUGGCUCGCGUUGUCUUCGGGUAGAGUGCUAAAGGUGCUUGGUGACAAGUACCGUAGAUGAAUGACUAUCUUGAUUUCGGUCAGACAGAACCCGGCUUAUAGAUCAACUUCA
rnacentral:RNase_P_RNA from 1 species